GAUGAACGCUAGCUACAGGCUUAACACAUGCAAGUCGAGGGGAAACGAUAUUGGAAGCUUGCUUCUGAUAGGCGUCGACCGGCGCACGGGUGAGUAACGCGUAUCCAACCUGCCCAUCACUUGGGGAUAACCUUGCGAAAGUAAGACUAAUACCCAAUGACGUCUCUAGAAGACAUCUGAAAGAGAUUAAAGAUUUAUCGGUGAUGGAUGGGGAUGCGUCUGAUUAGCUUGUUGGCGGGGUAACGGCCCACCAAGGCGACGAUCAGUAGGGGUUCUGAGAGGAAGGUCCCCCCACAUUGGAACUGAGACACGGUCCAAACUCCUACGGGAGGCAGCAGUGAGGAAUAUUGGUCAAUGGACGAGAGUCUGAACCAGCCAAGUAGCGUGCAGGAAGACGGCCCUAUGGGUUGUAAACUGCUUUUAUAAGGGAAUAAAGUGAGUCUCGUGAGACUUUUUGCAUGUACCUUAUGAAUAAGGACCGGCUAAUUCCGUGCCAGCAG
rnacentral:rRNA from 1 species